rnacentral:rRNA from 1 species
UACGAAGGGAGCUAGCGUUGUUCGGAAUCACUGGGCGUAAAGCGCACGUAGGCGGAUUUGCCAGUCAGGGGUGAAAUCCCGGGGCUCAACCUCGGAACUGCCUUUGAUACAGCAAGUCUUGAGUUCGAGAGAGGUGGGUGGAAUUCCUAGUGUAGAGGUGAAAUUCGUAGAUAUCAGGAAGAACACCGGUGGCGAAGGCGGCCCACUGGCUCGACACUGACGCUGAGGUGCGAAAGCGUGGGGAGCAAACAGG